rnacentral:rRNA from 1 species
CCUACGGGAGGCAGCAGUGGGGAAUAUUGCACAAUGGGGGAAACCCUGAUGCAGCGACGCCGCGUGAGUGAAGAAGGAAUUCGUUAUGUAAAGCCCUAUCAGUCGGGAAGCAAUUGACGGUACCUGAGUAAGAAGCCCCGGCUAACUACGUGCCAGCAGCCGCGGUCAUACGUAGGGGGCAAGCGUUAUCCGGAUUUACUGGGGGUAAAGGGAGCGUAGACGGCAGUGCAAGUCUGGAGGGAAAGGCGGGGGCUCAACCCCCGGACUGCUCUGGAAACUGUCCGGCUGGAGUGCAGGAGAGGUAAGUGGAAUGCGUAGUGUAGCGGGGAAAUGCGUAGAUAUUAGGAGGAACACCAGUGGCGAAGGCGGCUUACUGGACUGUAACUGACGUUGAGGCUCGAAAGCGUGGGGAGCAAACAGGAUUAGAUACCCUAGUAGUC